UCAGUACCGUGAGGGAAAGGCGAAAAGAACCCCGGGAGGGGAGUGAAAUAGAUCCUGAAACCGUGUGCGUACAAGCAGUAGGAGCUCGCAAGAGUGACUGCGUACCUUUUGUAUAAUGGGUCAGCGACUUACUGUUCGUGGCAAGCUUAACCGUAUAGGGGAGGCGAAGGGAAACCGAGUCUGAUAAGGGCGCAUAGUCGCGGGCAGUAGACCCGAAACCGGGUGAUCUAGUCAUGGCCAGGGUGAAGGUGCCGUAACAGGUACUGGAGGCCCGAACCCACGUCUGUUGCAAAAGACGGGGAUGAGCUGUGAUUAGGAGUGAAAAGCUAAUCGAACCCGGAGAUAGCUGGUUCUCCUCGAAAGCUAUUUAGGUAGCGCCUCGGACGAAUACUACUGGGGGUAGAGCACUGUUAUGGCUAGGGGGUCAUCGCGACUUACCAAACCAUUGCAAACUCCGAAUACCAGUACGUACUAUCCGGGAGACACACGGCGGGUGCUAACGUCCGUCGUGAAAAGGGAAACAACCCAGACCCACAGCUAAGGUCCCAAAUUCACUGCUAAGUGGAAAACGAUGUGGAAAGGCAUAGACAGCCAGGAGGUUGGCUUAGAAGCAGCCACCCUUUAAAGAAAGCGUAAUAGCUCACUAGUCGAGUCGGCCUGCGCGGAAGAUGUAACGGGGCUCAAACUAGGAGCCGAAGCUGCGGAUUUAAUUGUUUCAAUUAAGUGGUAGGGGAGCAUUGUGUAAGCCUGUGAAGGUGUGUUGUAAAGCAUGCUGGAGGUAUCACAAGAGCGAAUGCUGACGUGAGUAACGACAAUGCGAGUGAAAAGCUCGCACGCCGGAAGACCAAGGGUUCCAGUCCAACGUUAAUCGGGGCUGGGUGAGUCGACCCCUAAGGCGAGGCCGAAAGGCGUAGUCGAUGGGAAAUCGGUUAAUAUUCCGAUACUUGUUUAUGAUGCGAUGGAGGGACGGAGAAGGUUAUGCCAGCUUGGCGAUGGUUGUCCAAGUGGAAGGAUGUAGUUAGGUUUAGUAGGCAAAUCCGCUAGACUAUUAAUGAGAUCUGAUAGCAAGCUGUACUUGUACAGCGAAGUGGCAAAUACCCUGCUUCCAGGAAAAGCUUCUAAGCGAUAGUCAUAAACAAAUCGUACCCUAAACCGACACAGGUGGUCAGG
rnacentral:rRNA from 1 species